UACGUAGGGUGCAAGCGUUAAUCGGAAUUACUGGGCGUAAAGCGUGCGCAGGCGGUUUUGUAAGUCUGACGUGAAAUCCCCCGGGCUCAACCCGGGAACUGCGUCCGAGACUGAAAGGCUCGAAUCCGGGAGAGGGAAGUGGAAUUUCCGGUGUAGCGGUGAAAUGCGUAGAUAUCGGAAGGAACAUCAGUGGCGAAAGCGACUUCCUGGACCAAUACUGACGCUCAUGUGCGAAAGCGUGGGGAGCAAACAGG
rnacentral:rRNA from 1 species